rnacentral:rRNA from 1 species
AAGUCGAACGAGAGAAGAGAAGCUUGCUUUUCUGAUCUAGUGGCGGACGGGUGAGUAACACGUGAGCAAUCUGCCUUUCAGAGGGGGAUACCGAUUGGAAACGAUCGUUAAUACCGCAUAACAUAAUUGAACCGCAUGAUUUGAUUAUCAAAGAUUUAUCGCUGAAAGAUGAGCUCGCGUCUGAUUAGCUAGUUGGUAAGGUAACGGCUUACCAAGGCGACGAUCAGUAGCCGGACUGAGAGGUUGAUCGGCCACAUUGGGACUGAGACACGGCCCAGACUCCUACGGGAGGCAGCAGUGGGGAAUAUUGCACAAUGGAGGAAACUCUGAUGCAGCGAUGCCGCGUGAGGGAAGAAGGUUUUAGGAUUGUAAACCUCUGUCUUCAGGGACGAAAAAAUGACGGUACCUGAGGAGGAAGCUCCGGCUAACUACGUGCCAGCAGCCGCGGUAAUACGUAGGGAGCGAGCGUUGUCCGGAAUUACUGGGUGUAAAGGGAGCGUAGGCGGGAUCGCAAGUCAGAUGUGAAAACUAUGGGCUUAACCCAUAAACUGCAUUUGAAACUGUGGUUCUUGAGUGAAGUAGAGGUAAGCGGAAUUCCUAGUGUAGCGGUGAAAUGCGUAGAUAUUAGGAGGAACAUCAGUGGCGAAGGCGGCUUACUGGGCUUUAACUGACGCUGAGGCUCGAAAGCGUGGGGAGCAAACAGGAUUAGAUACCCUGGUAGUCCACGCCGUAAACGAUGAUUACUAGGUGUGGGGGGACUGACCCCUUCCGUGCC